rnacentral:rRNA from 1 species
AUGAAGUUCAUUGAUAAUGAUAAUCCUCACAAUAUGCAUCCUAGCCAAUGCCUUUAUGAGUUUGAAAAAUAUACUAGAAAACAAGAUCACUUCAAUGCAAAUGUUAUGAAACAAUUGAAAUACAAUUCUGAUAUGAUUGCUUGCUUGAGUGACUUGUUAUUUAGAAUACAAAACGAUGUUAGAGGCAUUGGAAAGCAUGCUUCUAUGGUUCAAACUCAGUUAAAACAAGUUGCUAAAUCUCAAAGAGAAUUGCUUGAUGAAAUGAAUAAUAAUAUGCAUGACUUUGUUGUUAGAGUUGCAACUAGAGGAGGUAAAAUGACUGAGGAACCACUUUAUCCUGAGGGACACCCUAAAAGAAUUGAACAAGAUUCACAAAGAGCCAACACUAGUGCACCUAGUUCUUCUAAAAAGAAAAAGAAAAAUAAGAAUGAUAGGACUUCACAUGCUCCUAGUGAACCUGAAAUAGAGAAAACUCCUGACUUAGAUAAUGAAGUUUCUAUCUCUGAUGCUGAAAAGCAUCAGAUACCACUUACUUACACUACAAAAAAAAGACACAUCCGUGACAUUUUGGGCCGAACGAAUUUUUUUUCUGUCAUACAUAUGACACUUCUAUGA